rnacentral:rRNA from 1 species
CCUACGGGAGGCUGCAGUGGGGAAUAUUGGACAAUGGGGGCAACCCUGAUCCAGCCAUGCCGCGUGUGUGAAGAAGGCCCUCGGGUUGUAAAGCACUUUCAGUGAGGAAGAACGCCUGGUGGUUAAUACCCAUCAGGAAAGACAUCACUCACAGAAGAAGCACCGGCUAACUCUGUGCCAGCAGCCGCGGUAAUACGGAGGGUGCGAGCGUUAAUCGGAAUUACUGGGCGUAAAGCGCGCGUAGGUGGCUUGAUAAGCCGGUUGUGAAAGCCCCGGGCUCAACCUGGGAACGGCAUCCGGAACUGUCAAGCUAGAGUGCAGGAGAGGAAGGUAGAAUUCCCGGUGUAGCGGUGAAAUGCGUAGAGAUCGGGAGGAAUACCAGUGGCGAAGGCGGCCUUCUGGACUGACACUGACACUGAGGUGCGAAAGCGUGGGUAGCAAACAGGAUUAGAUACCCGAGUAGUC